rnacentral:rRNA from 1 species
UAGGGAAUCUUCGGCAAUGGGGGGAACCCUGACCGAGCAACGCCGCGUGAGUGAAGAAGGUUUUCGGAUCGUAAAGCUCUGUUGUUAAGGAAGAACGAGUGUGAGAAUGGAAAGUUCAUACUGUGACGGUACUUAACCAGAAAGGGACGGCUAACUACGUGCCAGCAGCCGCGGUAAUACGUAGGUCCCGAGCGUUGUCCGGAUUUAUUGGGCGUAAAGCGAGCGCAGGCGGUUAGAUAAGUCUGAAGUUAAAGGCAGUGGCUCAACCAUUGUAGGCUUUGGAAACUGUUUAGCUUGAGUGCCGGAGGGGAGAGUGGAAUUCCAUGUGUAGCGGUGAAAUGCGUAGAUAUAUGAAGGAACACCGGUGGCGAAGGCGGCUCUCUGGUCUGUAACUGACGCUGAGGCUCGAAAGCGUGGGGAGCAAACAGG